rnacentral:lncRNA from 1 species
AAGUCUUGCUUGAGAAUACACCUGGCACUUGGCUAUAGAAGGUAGAAUGGAAAUUGCUACAACAAAAUUCUAACUUUAAUAGAAUACUAAAUAAAUUCUAAUUAAACCUUAAUAAUACUAAAUAAACUUCAAUCAAAUUCAAAAAAAAUCUUAAAGAAAUUAUAAGAAAAUUAAUAAAAAAUCUUAAAAGAAUUGAAGAAAUAUCCACAAUAAACCUUAAAAGAAUCUUUAAGAUAUCUUAAAAAAUAUUAGAAUAAUUAUAAAUAUAUUUUAAAUAAAUCUCAAUCAAGUUUUAAUUUGAAAUUUUAAUGGACUUCAAUCAAACCUUAGACAAAUCCUAAAUCCUAAACUAAAUCCUAAAUAAAUCCUAAAACCUGAAUUAAAUGCUAAACAAAUCUUAAAUCCUAAAUCAAAUCCUAUAGAAAUCCUAAAUUUUAGACUGAACCUUAGACAAAUUCUAAAUCCUAAAUCAAAUCUUAGACAAAUCCUAAAUCCUAAACCAAAUCUAAGAUAAAUCGUAAUUUUCAAAUUAAAUCCUAGACAAAUGCUAAAUACUAAACCAAAUCCUUGAAAAAUCCUAAAUCCUAAAUCAAAUCCUAGAUAAAUCCUAAAUUUUAAAUCAAAUCCUUAAUCAAAUCCUAAUUCUAAGCCAAAUUU